CAGCAUAAAAACUAUGGUUGAUUAAGCACAGAUAACUUGGUUGUGGCUUUUCCAUGGUAUGCAUCUCAUUAUCUUGUUAUUUUUUUGAUGAAAAAUGUACAUAUCUCAGAGUGAUAAGAAACAUACUUCAUAAGACACAAAACUAAUUUUUUUAAUAAUGUGGCUUGUGUCUGAGUUUCUUUCUCUAGGCUCUAUCACCCUUUAUGCUGGGUAAUUGCAGGUCAUAAGAUCUACAGCUAUUUCCUCCUAUGGUCAUGAUGGAUAUCCCUGCCACGUCUCUUUAAACCUGGAUCUCUCGUGUUAUCCCUGUGUCUUAGAAAGUUUCCUUGUCUGUUGCUUUAUUUUCUUUCAAGAGAUUGAUCGUGUUAGGAGUAACAGUAAAAGACAAAAAAGAAGGUUCAACAAGCAUAAAAAUUAGCUUUUAAAGAGUGUCUAGAAUAGUGCAGGAACUGAAACGUGCAAGAGUAAAACAGGAUCACCUCAUGGAAUCAUUGAGACAUUUUUUUGUUUGGCCUACCAUUUUUACCCCGGUAACCUUCCUUUUAAUAACAGCAGUAAGAGCCAAGGCAAUGUACUAAACACUUGCCAUGUGUUAAUCUUUGCCAUAAUACUUUGGGAUAAUAAUAUUUUCAUUUUAGGAACAAGGUACAAGGUGGUAAAAUGACUUGCUUAAGGUAAAUUAUGCCACUUAUAGUAUGAUGGAGCUGGCACCCUUUACUACUGUGCUCCUCAGCCCGGCAUUUCUUGUCUCAUAAUCAGGAAGUACAUUUCUCAGGUUUUAGAGUGAAUCAUAGCCACCUGAAAGCACUAGAAAACAAACAAACAAAAGGAACAUUUCCCUGAAACUAAUAUAAGAAACUCUGAUUUGGUAGCCUGGGUUAGGGCUUAGAAAUUUAUAUUUUUAAGCCAUAUUUUUAAUGAGUUAAGCGCAGGAGUUCCACGGGUCAGUUUGAGUAGCAUGGAUCUAUAUAACCUUAAAUAAAACAUUUAAUCCUUGGAGUUCUUCUAUAAGUUUUCAGGCCUUCACUAAAAGUCGCUGAUAAGAAAUAUGGUCGAGCAACAAGGGAAAACACCUACAGAAUCUGCUUGAAGAUUUAGAACUCACUCUCCCAGUUGGCACUAGAAGCUGUUAAAAGGAACUCUGUUCACUUGGCAUAACUGUUUCCAGUGAACCCAUGAUGGCCAUUAGUAUCUUCACUUUCUUUUCUAUGUACUCAUCAUCCAUUUGUUUAAUAACUUAUUCUAAACUCUGGCCAGGGAACAAUGCUAAUGUAAACCAUUGGCAUGUACAGAAUUUAAUAGUCUCUUCUUUCUGAAAAGCAAGGUAUUUAACAGUGUUUGAUGUUAUAAUACCUCUUUUAAAAAUUUCCAUAAUUUGAAGAUUCAGAAAAUGAUGAAUUUCAUCUAUAAGUUCUUUCUGUUUCCUGGAUUUUAUUUUUCUAAAAAGAAGCUAAUUAUCUUCUUAUCCAUAUUAUGUUUAAUUACAGUUAUCACUUAAUAAUAUAUCUAUUUUUUCCAUUUUGAUUUUUUUUUAUUUUUAAAAGAUAAAAACAAUAAAAUUUUAAUACUUUUA